rnacentral:rRNA from 1 species
AGUGAACGCUGGCGGUAGGCCUAACACAUGCAAGUCGAACGGCAGCACAGUAAGAGCUUGCUCUUACGGGUGGCGAGUGGCGGACGGGUGAGGAAUACAUCGGAAUCUACUUUUUCGUGGGGGAUAACGUAGGGAAACUUACGCUAAUACCGCAUACGACCUACGGGUGAAAGCAGGGGAUCUUCGGACCUUGCGCGAUUGAAUGAGCCGAUGUCUGAUUAGCUAGUUGGCGGGGUAAAGGCCCACCAAGGCGACGAUCCGUAGCUGGUCUGAGAGGAUGAUCAGCCACACUGGAACUGAGACACGGUCCAGACUCCUACGGGAGGCAGCAGUGGGGAAUAUUGGACAAUGGGCGCAUGCCUGAUCCAGCCAUACCGCGUGGGUGAAGAAGGCCUUCGGGUUGUAAAGCCCUUUUGUUGGGAAAGAAAAGCAGCAGGUUAAUACCCCGCUGUUCUGACGGUACCCAAAGAAUAAGCACCGGCUAACUUCGUG